rnacentral:rRNA from 1 species
AGUGAACGCUGGCGGCGUGCCUAAUACAUGCAAGUCGAACGCGAAAGUCCUUCGGGAUGGGUAAAGUGGCGCACGGGUGAGUAAUACAUGGGAACAUGCCCUUGGAUGGGGAAUAACGUUUGGAAACGAACGCUAAUACCGCAUAAUCUCGCGAGAGUAAAGGUGGCGCCGCAAGGGCUACCGUCCAAGGAUUGGCCCAUGUCCCAUUAGCUAGUUGGCGGGGUAAUGGCCCACCAAGGCAACGAUGGGUAACUGGUCUGAGAGGAUGAUCAGUCACACUGGAACUGAAACACGGUCCAGACUCCUACGGGAGGCAGCAGUAGGGAAUAUUGCACAAUGGGGGAAACCCUGAUGCAGCAACGCCGCGUGAGUGAAGAAGGCCCUUGGGUUGUAAAGCUCUUUAGCGUGGGAAGAAGGUAGAUAUGGUGAAUAAUCAUGUUUGCUGACGGUACCACGAGAAUAAGCACCGGCUAAUUUCGUGCCAGCCGCCGCCGUAA